rnacentral:rRNA from 1 species
GAUGAACGCUAGCUACAGGCUUAACACAUGCAAGUCGCGGGGCAGCAUGGGGGUUGCUUGCAAUCCCCGAUGGCGACCGGCGCACGGGUGAGUAACGCGUAUCCAACCUGCCCUUCACCACGGGAUAACCCGGCGAAAGUCGGACUAAUACCGUAUGUUGUCCAUUGACGGCAUCCGAUUUGGACGAAAGGCUUGGCGGUGAGGGAUGGGGAUGCGUCCGAUUAGCCAGACGGCGGGGUAACGGCCCACCGUGGCUACGAUCGGUAGGGGUUCUGAGAGGAAGGGCCCCCACACUGGAACUGAGACACGGUCCAGACUCCUACGGGAGGCAGCAGUGAGGAAGAUUGGUCAAUGGGCGUAAGCCUGAACCAGCCAAGUAGCGUGCAGGAUGACGGCCCUAUGGGUUGUAAACUGCUUUUAUGCGGGGAUAAAGUGGCCCACGGGUGGGCUUUUGCAGGUACCGCAUGAAUAAGGACCGGCUAAUUCCGUG